CAAGGUUCGACUUGAGCGCCAGCGAGAAAGCGUUGCCGCAGGCAACGACCCGAAGGGCGAAGCGCGCAGCGCUGAGUAAUCCUUCCCCCACCACCA
rnacentral:sRNA from 1 species